rnacentral:rRNA from 1 species
UACGUAGGGGGCAAGCGUUGUCCGGAUUUAUUGGGCGUAAAGAGCUCGUAGGCGGUUCCGUAAGUCGUGAAGUCAAAUCUCUGGGCUCAACCCAGAAUCGCUUCCGAUACUGCGGUGACUGGAGUCCGGUAGGGGAGUGUGGAAUUCCUGGUGUAGCGGUGAAAUGCGCAGAUAUCAGGAGGAAUACCUAUGGCGAAAGCAGGUCUCUGGGCCACAACUGACGCUGAGCUGCGAAAGCUAGGGGAGCAAACAGG